AGCAGUAUUGGCCCCUCUCUUAAUCAGCUUGAACUAAAGUAACCUCCAUUCAGCCCCAGUAUUUUAUUCAAGGGAACGUUCUGGCUUAUUCGGAUCAUAUUUUGGCCCAGUCCAAAGCCUAACCUUCCUACUCUACCAGGGUUUUAAAGGGAUAAGAGAAACUUAUAACAGAGAAGAGAGUUGAGAAUACUCUGAGAAUAAAAUUUCACAUAGAAUAUCAUGUGUUGUAUUUUACUGUGUGCUAGGCACUGCACUCUAUAUUCUUUUUAAUUAUAUUAUUUAGUUCACUCAACAGUGCUAUUGAGUUAAAUAUAAACUCCAUUAAAAUACAAUUUUGACUGUUUUAAUCAAGGUUAUCAUGAACCCCUAGAAUAUUGCCUAACCAGGUGCUAAACAUAUGUGUUGAAUUAAUUAACUAGGUAUGUAUUACCACUCUCAAUUUAAAUGUGGAAACUGAGACUCACUCAGUUUAAGCCAACUGCUCCAAUUCUCAUAGGUUAUACAACUGAGCAGAAAUAUGAAUUCAUUAAGUAUUCCUCUGCACUUCCUGCAGUUGAUUGGACAAAAAGGCAAAUGCUAAUCUUUGAAAUCUCCAUUCUGAGGCUUUUUGUUAUAAAAAUGUCUGUGCCUCUUUCAAACCCAGAGAUUUGGCUGUGUCAGGAAACUUCGGUUUAGUGAUUUGAGAAAUCAUUUACGAUCACGAUCUCAUUCUCUUUUGCCAAGCCCUUCCCUGUACUGUAUUUAUAGCAAUAUGGGGGUGGCGGAGGAGAUGCCAUGAAAAAAUAGGAAAUAGGAUGAAGGAUGGGUUGGAGGUCCUCUUACCGAAUAAGUCAAGAAAGUGUCAAAGGCUAAAAUGUACUGGGAACUUAUUCACUGAAUCAUACCAAGUCAUUAAUUCCUAAUUGAUUUUUGUUGUCGUCAUUCUAGUUAAGGAUAAAUAAAAGCGCUAAACUAUUGAAAAGAUGUAAAGGAGAAAGCUUAGGGAAGAAAGGAGAGAGGAUGAAAAAGGGACAUUUAUAGGAAAACAAAAUGAGACUACUACCUGAAGAUUUUUUUUCUCUCAAAAAUUUGGGAACUUUCCAGUCACGAGAGGUUCAUGAGAAGUAUUUUAUAUACUGGAAAAUUGUACUUUUCACUUUUUUUCAAGUCCUUUCAGUCCCCAUUUCACAAAGGAACUAUGAAUAACUGUGUCUUAUUACAAAUAAUCCAUCAGAUGUGGAGCAGUUGAAGUUGAAGGGGUGCAGAGUUGAAGGCAACCUGACAUUUUGUGUUCUCUUCAUCCUUUCCUUAUUGCCAAGUGGUGCUGGUUGAGGCUUAUCAGAGCUUUUAAGUGUCCUGUGAGGAAUGAUAUGUGCUACUAGGUUUAGGAUACUUGUCUUUCAGGAUCUCAAAGGACAUUUGUUCUGAGGCGUUGAGACUCUUUUCUUCAUUGGGUAGCUAUAUUGGUACCUUGAUGUUGAGCUCCAAAGAUUAGAGCAGCGGUCGUUCAAAGGGUCCUUAGACUUGAAAAUGUGGGGGCUACUACUAUAUCACUCAAUCUGUUGACCUGUUUGUCAUCGUUUAUAGGGUGAGUGUAUCAUUGAGGACAUUUUUGGUUUGAGUCACAGAAAACCUGAGUUAAACUGGCUCAUGCAAUGAGGGAGUUUAUUGGUUUACAUAAAUGAAAAACAGUGGAAGGGCUAGCUACAAGUGUCAGUUGACCACCUUCUCUGUCUUGCCUUAUUUGCUUCCCUAUUGGCUUUAUUUUCAGAUAUGCUCUCUUUUCAUGGUCAUAAGCUGGAUAUAGCAGCUCUGGACCUUGUAUUCUCUGGGCUUUAAAUCACCUGGGAAGAGCAAGCCUCUUUUUCCUGGAAGUCAAUCAAAAUCUCAAACUUCAGCACUGGCUCUGAUUAGGUCACAUCCCUGUCUCUGAACUAGUAACAGAUACACUGUUUAGCUUAGCCCUGGGCAACCUCCAUGGAGUCAGCAAAUGGGUCUCAGCCAACCUUCACAGACAGAGAUGAAAGCGUGUUUCCUUGCAUGGAUCCAUACUAAAGUAAAUGAAGCUUGAGUGACCAAAGAAGAGUACAUGUUCAUUAGAGCAAAAUUAUAUAUAAGAAGUAGAGGGACUUGAAAAGGAAAGGAAACCAUGAUAGAGAGAAGGAAAGAAGGGCUAAGGAAAAUAUCUCCAUAGACAUGAUCUGUACUUAGAUACAUGUUUACAGUUUAUAAGUAGAUCUUUUUUUUUUAUUACGUAUGUGGAAGAACCUGAGACUGUAUUUCAUGUAAAAAACUAUACUUACUAUAGUUUACUUUUAAAAAAUAUUAACAAAAUACUUUAAAAGAGGGACAGUGAGAAUAAAAAAUAAGAAUAAAUGGUUUUGAGUUUCAUUAUUACCAGGCCCUAUUCAAAUUGUAUUUCUAUCAUACCCAAUAAUAUAUAGAAAAUAUAGAAGUAUCUCUUGUCCCAGCUAUGAAGCUUUAUCUCCAAAAUGGAAACAUUUACAGUCCAUGUUUUAAUAUUGAAUAUUUUUUUUUUCCAAUCAGGCAUUUGGUGAUUGAGCUAUGUUUGAAAGGUCAAACCAACUCCUUCAUGAACUUUUGCUAUCUACAUUUGUACCUACACGCUUGAGAUUUAGUUAACCUAAGCUUUCAAUCCAUAUGCUGAUAAACUUGGCAUUUGUGCACUAAAUCCACCCUACCAACUUUAAGACCCUUAAUCAGCCAAAUUACCUUCCAAGUUGAUUGAUUCCCUGGAACAUCAACUAACAGUGUUGUAAAUAAGGGAGAGAGGUAACAAGGGCGGGGGGAGGUGGCAGUGGCAGAUACGUGAAGUGAAGGGAAAGACAAAGUCACCUACAUAGAGCAGCCUGUGAUGGGCUAGAAAGUGUGGGUUUGGGCACAAUUGUGUAGAACAUUUGUCUCCUUAAAAUGUUGUGUUUGAAACUACUGGGAGUGUUCCCUCAUAUGCUUGGGAAAGCUUGUCAUCUUUAUGUUUGGACUUUGCAAUAACAGACUGUCAGACUGCUGUUUUUGGAGCUGGUAUUCAGAAUAUAGUGAAAAUUGAAAGUGAGAUUGAUAACCCAAUCCUUCUAAUCACCUUCCAGAUGAACACGUAGAAUCCAGAGUCUAGUGCGUUUCUUAAGGUGUUGCUUUUCACUAGGCUGACCUCCAGAAGGAGAUGGCACAUCCCUGCAGGGCUGGAUGCAUCUCCAAGGCCAUUCAGGCAGAACAAGUAGUAUUUCCAUGGAAACCUUGCAUAUGCUCAUGUGUGCAUAGCCCCACCUGGCAUUUGUCCUUCCAGUGACCAAGCCAAAUGAGGCAAUUUGUGCUCCGGCCACUGGAAGCAGGGCUUGCUUCAUUAACACCACAUCAUGCUAGCGGGAUUAUAGAGAAAGGGGUAUUGGUUUCCUUUAGGGAAUGUGAUUUUCCGCUGAGUCCUUGCCAAAGGUCACACUGACAAUGUUUUGAGACAAGCUGGGCCAUACCCUUCAUAUAACUGCUGUGUGUUUUGUGGCCAGAGUUCUUUUUUGUAAACAAAAUCUAAUAUAGCAAGGGCUUACUUACCUUGGAAGAGGGGGAUGCUAUUUACUCAAGGUAGGAAAUUGGCAGUAUAUUAUCAGAGGGUAUUUUCUGAGCAAAUAUUUAAUCAGGACCUCUCCUAUUUGUCUUUUUUGGCCCGAGGAUGUUCUGUGAAAUGCAAUGCAGUUCCACUCUUAUGUUCAUGAUUUACUCAGAGCUUUGCCACAAGCUGUUGUGUAUGCAAAAGAAAGUUCAGUAUUUCUAAUUAUAUUGUGUACCUAGUCUAUUAUCUGAUAUUCCUCUGAAUUGCCAAAUAAAUUUUUAUCAACAUUUCCCAUUGCCAAAUAUCAAGAUCCUGUGAAUUCAUAUUUUGUUAAGUUUUUCAAAGGAUAUCAUGAGUGUAAUAUAAAUAUAGUCACAUAAUCUUACACAGUCUUGCCUUUCUAUGCACAUCAAUGAACCUACCAAAUCCAAUCUAGUUGUGAUUUUUAUAUUUUUCAGUAGCCUGAACAUUUGUUUUUGACAAAUACUCAGGAAUGUUGUCACUUUGCUGAAAUGUGUUUAGUUAACUCAGGUGACAUAUGAAUGGCAUUGAGCAAAAAUAUUAGUGACAUGUAGUUUUAAUGUUCUUUUUCUUUGCAGAGGUCACAUGAAAGUGAGAAUUAAAAUGUUCCCUUUCCUUCUGCAUUGUGUUCUUAUUCUACUUCUUAAUCUUAGUUGAAGAAAUACAUUGUCUGGAUCUCUAAGUUUUGCUGCCGGACAGUGGAAGGAAUGCCUCACACAAUUAUCAUGAUGGGGUGGACAGCACAUAUGGUGACGAUGGUCACUUUGGUGCUAUUGUUCCUGGGAAUACUGAAGUCGUGUUCCAGUAUACAUUCUGAAUAGGUGGCAGCACAGUUCUUUCCCACUCUUGUCCAUCACGUCGUGUAAUGCAAACCACAGGGUAAUUAUGAGAAUUUGUUUUGAGGGUUGGUGACAUAAACAACUACAGUUAACCUCUCACCCAUAAACACGUGGGAAGGUGUGUGAUGCUCCCACCAAGCAUAAAGGGAGAUAUCACUCUACCUGUUUCCAGGAACAUCAUUUAGUGGGAGAAAAGUCUUGACUUCGGGAGUCAGAAACUCCAGUGUCAGAAUUUCACUACUACUUUCCAACUGUGGGAAAUUGGUCAACUUUGCGGACCUUCUUCAUUGUUGUCUUGGGAGAAAUAAGGAGAUGUCUAUAAAAAGAGGUAUGACUGAUCAUUAGCUGUUGAAUCAGUAUGACUCUUUUUCCACUAUACUAUGAUCUUGCUAGGGCAAUAACUAUAUCUUUACCACUUCCAUCUCCCAAACUUACUACAUUUCCUGAAACAUAGAAUACAUUCCAUAAAUGGUCAUCGAAUGAAUGAGUGAAUGCUAACAUUUAACAACUGCAGACAGUCACACCAGAGAUUGAAAUUAAAAACAAACCAAGCCCAUAACAAUAGUCCAAAAGCCUAGAUCACCUUAUUUGGCCCAGUUGUGACAAAGAAGAUACAACUAAGCUUGAGGAGCCCUUCUAACAGUUGACAAUAUAGCUUUGAAACUUCUGUCAUAGAUACUAAGCAAUGUAAUCUUUGAUUAUUAAAAAUAGUGGUUUUAAGAAGUUCCCCUUGUGGCUCAGGAGUAACAAACCCAGCUAGUACCCAUGAGGAUGCUCAGUGGGUUAAGUACCAGGCAUUGCUUUGGCUGUGGUGUAGGCCUGCAGUUACAGCUCCAAUUCAACCCCUAGCCUGGGAACUUCCAUAUGCCACAGGUGUGGCCCUAAAAAGCAAAAGCAGGACAAAAAAAAAAAAAAAAGCGGUUUUAGAGGAAAUGAAAUGUCUUAUUUUUCAGUAUGUCUUAUUUUACUACUAUUUGCCUCAUGAGCCAACAUCUCCACAGGAAACAUCUACAGACAGUGAAAAGAAAACAUUUGCCUACUCAGCUUUUAGCCUUUCCAGAGACACUAAUUCUCACUUUGAUAGGAGGUAUAUUAAAAAGAACUUUCUUUCUCAACUUUCAUUUUUAAAUGUGAAUAUUUUUGUACUUGUGAAUUCGCACAUUAGUAGACAAAUCUUAGCAAAUCCUGGAGAUGCCUAUUAUAUCAUUUGAGUUAUUCCCUGUAAAUAAAUCACAAAAUUGAAUCUGGACAUCUGAGAAAUUUACAGAAAUCAUUAAUUAAAAUCUAAAACAGCACUUUUCAUUCUAUCUAGAUUUCUGUUUCACAGAAUGCCUUAAAUUUCCCAGGCCAAGAUUUAGAAUCCAGACAGAUCUCAUGUGCAAGUAGUAAGAUUUAUGGACAGACUUUCCUCAUGUCUCCAGGUAGAUUCUUAACCCCUUAAGGGAAAGAUCAAAAUCCUAUUUGUAUAUGCAAGCUUGCAACAUAGUGCUCUGAGUGUAAACUUAGAUGCUUAACAAAUGUAAAUGAAGGACAUAAUGCAUGCAACUAUUUCCUAUCAUUCUUUAGAUCUUGAACCAACCUUGAUUUACUUCCAUAAGAAAUCUGACAGAGGGAUUUGUGUACUUUGUGCAUGUCCAUUGGCAGUGCUCUGGAGAAAGGACUGUGCUCUGGCUUUCUGCCUCUGUUUACCCACAUAAUCUCAUCAGUUGUAUUGAGACGGCAAGGGUGGGUCAUGACUCAUAUUGAUCAAUCUGAAAUUCAAGUUGAGUUUACACAUUGACAAAUAGAAAACACAUUCUGACAUCCAGAUGUGUUAGCUGCAUGCUUGAGCUUCCCUGUUUUUGUCAUGAUUUUUCUUUCCAUGUAGACAAAAAUUUAGAAGCUUUGGAUCACUAUGUUCAAAGUCCAAAGACAUAUUUAUCUCAAUUUCCCAAUCUUUCUCCCCUAAACAAAACAAACAAAAAAGCAAAACAAACAAAUAAAAAAAAAACUUUUCCUCUUCACCCUUGGGGCCCACAGAAGAAUCCUGUCUUCAAAUGGAUAUAAAAUGCUCCAGCAUACAGAGAAAGACUUAGAGUCUAGAUUCUGUCAUCUACAGUCU
rnacentral:lncRNA from 1 species